AACAAUAUAUAUAGUAGACAGUUGAGAAAUAACGGCCAUUUAAAACCGAAACUUUGUAGAGUAAAUUAAAUCAUUGAUUCACAUCAUAAGUACUAGUUAGGUGUGUUUAUUGAUUGAUUUGGUAAAGUUGUUGUUUUAAAGUAGUGAAAACUUAAGAUCACACAGAGAAGAAGGUAAGAAACAGAGUUUUUUCUUUAUAGAAAAAGAAAGUGUUUGGUUGACUCCACUCCAAAAAGCGUGGAUUCAACCCAAUUCUCCCGCUAAUCUCGCCUCUUCAUACCAAUUUCCCUGCUUUAUUUCCCCAAAACCUCAUUCUCUUUCACUCUUCCUUCUCAACUAAAACCAUCACACCAUGAUUCUACCCCAUUUCUUCUUCUCCUUCUUGUGCAUCAUCAUCAUCACUACCACCUCCACCCAAACUCCAUCUCCACCUUACCCCUACGGUCUGUCAUCCUACCACAUUAACUGCGGCACUUCAACAAACACAACAGACUCCUUCAACACAACCUGGCUCUCCGACCGUUUCUACACCGCCGGCUCCACCUCCCUCGUCUCUGAACCUCUCCGCUUCAACCUCCCCUCUGAAAAGACCCUCCGCUUCUUCCCUCCCUCUUCCUACGGCAAAAAAAACUGCUACUCUUUCCCCUCUCUCCCCUCCUCUCGCUACCUCCUCCGCACCUUCACCGUCUACGACAACUACGACGCCAAGUCCCGUCCCCCUUCCUUCGACGUUUCCAUCUCCGCCACCAUCAUUUUCAACUGGCGCUCUCCCUGGCCUGAAUCCACUUCCCGUAACGGCGCUUACUCCGAUCUCUUCGCAUUCCUCCACACUCCCUCCGCCUCCGAUCUCUGCUUCUACGGCUACGCCACCGACGCUCCUAUUGUCUCGUCUAUCGAACUCUUUCCUGUCGAUUCCGCUUCCUAUGACUCCAACUCCACCGGAGAAAACUUCGUUCUCGUUAACUACGGUAGAAUUUCAUGCGGCUCCGAUGAUCACUGGGGUUCUGGUUUCACCAACGACACCGACAACUUCGGUCGGUCAUGGCAACCGGACGAAACAUUCAGAACUGGACCGGAUGAAGCCGAAGCCGUCAGAGUUUUGUCAACGGAGAAUACCGUUAGCGGCGCUAACAGAGAGCCGAAUUAUUUUCCGAUGAAGCUGUAUCAAACGGCUGUGACUACGGAGCAUUCGUUGGAGUACGAAUUGGGUGUGGACGCAAAGAUGGACUAUAUGGUGUGGCUGCAUUUCGCUGAGAUUGAUUCGAGCGUGAAAAAAGCUGGAGAGAGAGUGUUUGAUGUGCUCGUCAAUGGAAACAAUGCAACAAGAGUUGAUAUAUAUAAAGAAGUGGGAAGUUUCGCUGCUUUCACUUGGCAUUACACUGUCAAAAACUUGAGCACUAAUGUUUUGGGGAUAAAGCUUGUAGCUGUUUCUGGUGCCCCUCUUAUUUGUGGCUUUGAAAAUUAUGCAUUGGUACCUAAAGACCCUUCCACUCACCCUCUCCAAGUAAGUGCUAUGAAGGCAUUGAAGGAAUCGCUUCGUGUUCCGGGUAGAAUGGGUUGGAAUGGUGAUCCUUGUGCUCCUACAACUUGGGAUGCUUGGGAGGGUGUUACCUGCCGUAUGAGUGAUGAUAAAACUACUCUCCUCAUUACUGAAAUAAAUCUUGGCAGUCAAGGCUUAAAAGGGAACAUAAGUGGCCAGAUCAGUCUUUUGUCAGAUUUAGUAAGCCUGAACUUGAGUUCUAAUUCCUUAGGGGGCGGAAUACCAUCAGCACUAGGCCAAAAAUCCCUGAUACAAGUGGAUUUAUCCAACAAUCAGUUAAUGGGCUCUAUACCUGACAGUUUGACAUCUUCAAACUUGCAGCUUGUGCUAUUGAAUGGUAACCUAUUGGAAGGACGAGUGCCAGAGCAACUUUAUUCUGUUGGUGUGCACGGUGGAGCUAUUGAUUCUUUUUUCUGCAUUUUCAGAUUUCCAGCAUUGUAAAAGCUUCAGAGCUCAUCAAUUCUAAUCAAUAAAAUUGUGUUUUCUAUCAUUGGUCCGACCUGCCGGGUAGAGAUAGAAGCUAGCGAAACCGGAUGCCACCGAAAAUGUCUGACAAAGUUGAGGCUUUGGAGAUAAGAAUGGCUGAGAUGGAAGAUUCACUGCUUCAAACCUUGAAUGAAUUUCGUCAUGCUAAUUUGACAGAAUUUGCAAAACUGUUGAAUCUGGGGUGUAGCAGAUAACCGAGGAGCCAAUUACGGAAAUACUAGAUGGCAGUGAAGAAGGUGGAGCUGCCAUCAUUUGAUGGUGAUGAUCCAGUGGGGUGGAUCACGCGAGCAAGACAUAUUUUGAGGUACAGGGAAUAUCUGAAGAAGUGAAGGUUCGUUUGGCGAAAAUUAGCAUGGAGGGAGCAACCAUUCAUUGGUUUAAUCUUCUAUGUGAAACAGAGGAUGACCUCACAUGGUUAAAGUUGAAGGAAGCGUUGAUUGAGAGAUAUGGAGGAAGAAAGAGCGGUAAUCCAUUCGAAGAAUUGAAAGAUCUUCAACAAACUAGAGAUGUGGAAGAGUACAUUUUAGAUUUCGAAUAUUUCUCUUCCCCUCCCUGAAGAACAAUACCUUGGGUAUUUUUUAGGUGGCCUCCAACCAGAGGUACGUUUGCGAGUAAGGACCUUCAACCCUAAGACACGUGUGGAGGUGAUGAAAUUAGCUCGUGAUGUUGAAACAGAGUUACGGGGCGUGUUGAAUUGUAGUGAAAGCGAAGGUGGAGGUCGUUCGCGAAACUGGAAAGGGGGAAGAGAAGGAAGUAAUGGAUCUGGACGGGUUUUUUUCCAAGCUGCAUAGUUCUUUUUUUUAUUAAAAAAUAUUUAGGGUGAGGGGUUGGUGUCUCAGUCCAAGAUAGGGUUCAAUGAUAAACCCACCAGCUUUGCAUGGAUGCUCGGGCUAAAAUUGUCUAAUAAAACUAAGUACUAACCAUAGUUGUUAUCUAACAUGCUACAAUUGUACUACAUGCAAAAGAAACUUUAUGCAGUCACAUUUAUCAAAAGGACGGUAUUAUAAUAAUUAUAUAUAAUCCAAUGAGAAAUAAUCUCUAUUCUAUGCUUACUUUGAUUUGUUUUC